rnacentral:rRNA from 1 species
UACGUAGGGUGCAAGCGUUAAUCGGAAUUACUGGGCGUAAAGCGUGCGCAGGCGGUUAUGUAAGACAGAUGUGAAAUCCCCGGGCUCAACCUGGGAACUGCAUCUGUGACUGCAUUGCUGGAGUGCGGCAGAGGGGGAUGGAAUUCCGCGUGUAGCAGUGAAAUGCGUAGAUAUGCGGAGGAACACCGAUGGCGAAGGCAAUCCCCUGGGCCUGCACUGACGCUCAUGCACGAAAGCGUGGGGAGCAAACAGG